rnacentral:rRNA from 1 species
GUCCACGCCCUAAACUAUGGCAACUAGUUGUUGGAGGAUGAACUCCUUUAGUAACGCAGCUAACGCGUGAAGUUGCCCGCCUGGGGAGUACGGUCGCAAGAUUAAAACUCAAAGGAAUUUACGGGGGCCCGCACAAGCGGUGGAUGAUGUGGUUCAAUUCGAUGCAACGCGAAAACCUUACCUACCCUUGACAUGCCAGGAAGCCCGAUGAAAGUCGGGUGUGCCCGAAAGGGAACCUGGACACAGGUGCUGCAUGGCUGUCGU